rnacentral:tRNA from 1 species
CUUGGAUAGCUUAUUUAGAGUGCAAUAUUGAAGAUAUUGAGGAGAAUUUAUAUUCUUCAAGUAU